rnacentral:rRNA from 1 species
UACGUAGGGGGCUAGCGUUGUCCGGAAUCAUUGGGCGUAAAGAGCGCGUAGGCGGCCAGAUAAGUCCGGUGUGAAAGUCAAAGGCUCAACCUUUGAAUGCCGCUGGAAACUGUCUGGCUAGAGUCCGGGAGGGGCGAGUGGAAUUCCUGGUGUAGCGGUGAAAUGCGCAGAUAUCAGGAGGAACACCAAUGGCGAAGGCAGCUCGCUGGAACGGUACUGACACUGAGGCGCGAAAGCGUGGGGAGCGAACAGG